UACGAAGGGGGCUAGCGUUGCUCGGAAUCACUGGGCGUAAAGCGCACGUAGGCGGACUCUUAAGUCGGUGGUGAAAUCCUGGAGCUCAACUCCAGAACUGCCUUCGAUACCUGGGGAGUCUUGAGUCCGGGGAGAGGUGAGUGGAACUGCGAGUGUAGAGGUGAAAUUCGUAGAUAUUCGCAAGAACACCAGUGGCGAAGGCGGCUCACUGGCCCGGUACUGACGCUGAGGUGCGAAAGCGUGGGGAGCAAACGG
rnacentral:rRNA from 1 species